rnacentral:rRNA from 1 species
GAUCCCAUGCCGAACUCAGAAGUGAAACGCCGUAGCGCCGAUGGUAGUGUGGGGUCUCCCCAUGUGAGAGUAGGGAAUUGCCAAGC